GUUCUUUCUACUGUUAUUCUUUAUUCUUUCUUAUUUUAUAGCAGCCACUUGUUUAUCAAAUUUCUUAGACUGUAUCAUCUUUCUCUUGCUCUUCUGAUUGAUAUAACCAUUGGUUUGCUCCAAUGUAACCAUGGUUGAUUUCUGCUUCAACAAUUAGAGACAAAUUUCAGUUUGAGUCAAGUCUUGCUUCUUCGAUUUUAUCUUCAUCUUUAGUUUUUUCCUUCAAUUUUUAGAUUUGGGUGAAAAAAUUUAUGAAGUUUUGGUGACAGAUUGAUUUUUAUGUUGUCGAAAUCUGAUAAUUAUUUGCAGAAUUCGUAUUUAGCUCGAGUUUUGGGGUAGUGAAGAAAUACUCCUCCUAUGUUGAGUGAACUUCGAUUUUGGGAAAGGUAACAAUUUUUAAUUCUUUGAAGACACGGUUAUUCUCAUUCUUUUUCCUUAAAUCCUUUGUUAUUUUAGUUAUCUGAUUUUUGGGUGAAACUUAGUUCCUUUAGAUUGUACCUGUAGUUUCUCCAAUUGUAUUAGUGUUUAACUGAGAGUAAUUCUUCUAUAAUUUUUGAGAUGUUCAAGCCUUUUGAAUUGAUAAAAUAUCUACUCCUCUCAAGAUAAUUCUGGAAACCUUCCUUUCCCAUUCAAUCGAUCACUAAUUCCUUCAAUUCCAAUUCCUUUUCAAUGCCGUCUAAGUAAGAAAAGGUUCCAAUCGACGUUGUCGAACUCGAUUAUAAAGACGGCGAUGAUGUUCCCGUCGCUGGAAUGACAAAACUGUACAUGCCUCACGGGAUUACGAUUUUCUAUUACGAGUUUCAACGGAGAUGACGUUCCUGUCCGUUGUGUUGCCAGAAAUGUAGCCUGCAAUAUCAGAGGUGGUUAUUUCAAGUAAGAUUUUAGGACUUUGUGCAGAGAUUUUGAUGGAGGCCUAUUACAGUGUAUAUCUAAAGUUACAUAUGAAGAUGACAUUAACAAAGUUCCUUCUGCUCCUGACGUUAGCAACUAUUUGAUUUCAGAGGACGAACCUUCAGCUGUAAACGGGAAUAAAGAUUCACUUCGAUUUGAUGGAAUGGCUGAUAAUGAGGUCGAAACAAGACUAAAGAUGCUGUAGUGUAACCGAUUUGAUCGAAUGGCUGAUAAUGAGAUCGAAAGGAGACUAAAGCAAAUUGGUUUAUUGUUCGAGUUGACCAACAGAACAUCUCCACUAAUAAGAAGUCACUCAAUAAUGUUACUUUCAUUUGUCAUUCUUCAAUAGGCUUGGCAUCUUUGUGAUCCAGAUGCUGAGAAGGUAUUUAAGGCCCUUAGAGCAGCAGGAGUGAAGUUGGUUGUAGUGUCGAAUUUUGACACUCAGUUGAAAUCAGUUUUGAAGCUCUGAACUGUGAUCACUGAUUUGAUGCCGUAGCAGUUUACUGAGAUAUGUUAACGAUGGAAGACCAUUUUGGCAACAUACAGUUAGUUCUUCGACUGGCUGUUCCGACUCUCAGUACUUUCAGGAGCUGUAUAACUAUUUUACUACUGAAAAUGUUCUCUCACUUUGAAUUUCCAUUUCUUUUUGACAGAAAAUUGGUUUAUUGUUCGAGUUGACUAACAGAACAUCUCCACUAAUAAGAAGUCACUCAAUAAUUUUACUUUCAUUUGUCAUUCUUCAAUAGGCGGCUUGGCAUCUUUGUGAUCCAGAUGCUGAGAGGGUAUUUAAGGCCCUUAGAGCGGAAGGAGUGAAGUUGGUUGUAGUGUCGAAUUUUGACACUCAGUUGAGACCAGUUUUGAGGGCUCUGAACUGUUAUCACUGGUUUAAUGCCGUAGCAGUUUCCGCUGAGGUAGAAGCAGAGAAGCCUAAUCCAACAAUAUUUUUAAAAGCGUGUGAGUUAUAGAAGUAAAUCCAGACGACGCUGUUCAUGUAGGCGAUGAUCGUAGAAAUGACAUUUGGAGUAAUUUUUUUGAUUGCAGUCCUCCCAACCAUGCUGGACCUGCUUUUUUACUGAAGCAACAAUGCAUAAGGAUGGUGGACCACUGGAUAAGGAGUCUUCAAAUACAAUUGUUUGAUCCAAGAAAGCGAUAUGAAUCAUUCGAGGUGACAAAUUGGUAUUUCUACAAGAGUACUAGAACAUAGGUGACGGUGAGGAUCUCAUUGGCUAGAGGAUUCGAGUAGCAUAUUCCUGUGAGCCCCACCUUGUUUACGUGGGCAAGAGUUUAUUUAUUUAUUAUGUUCUGUUUCUUGCAAACUCUUAGAGUCGCUCCAUAGUCAUGUCUUUAGAUUUUUUUAAUAUUCUUUUAUUAUUAUGGAUUUGUGGAAUAUUUGAUUUUCUCUCAUCCUUGGAGAUGAUUUUCAUAUUGUUAGUUGGUGGUGUUGGUGAAUUGUUGAUGAUCUAUGGUGAAUUGUGUUAGUAUUGUAUGGUGGUUGUGUUGUUGGGUUGUUUGUUGUUGAAAUUGAAACAAGAAAUUUUCUUGUUAGGCCCCAAAAGGGGGGAAACUUUGUCCGUUUUUCUGUAGAAUUCUGAUGAGGCUUGCUUUGGAGUCCUAACCUCCUUAGCGCCGGUCAUGAUCCUAUUUUGGGUCGUGACAAAGUUGGUAUCAGAGCCAUAUGGUUUGUAGAGCAACUACUGGUAGGGGAAGAGUUGGAUCCCACAGAAGGGGCUGAGGUAGGGGUAGUCGUGAUACCGCGGGGAAUCGCACUGCCACUCCAAGAAGUUCAAGAGAGCCCACUCCUGAAGGAAAUACUAGUCCACUUCCAUCAUCUCUUGAGGGUAGUACUGCUGAGGUAUUUGCUUCCAUGCAAAGAGCCAUAGAGGGCUUGGCCGAUCGACUGGAUAGACAGGAGAUGGGUGAUCAACGUAAUGCUGCACAACCUCAGCCACAAUUCCAGGCACUUGUUCAGACUUACAACUGUGGAAAUAAGGAGGUAUCUUUGCAGGAGUUCCUGAAGUUGAAGUGACUAAAAUUCACAGGUUCAGACAGUUCAGCUGAUUCUCAGUACUUUUUGGAUGGUACUUUCAAGGCGUUGCGGGCGUUAGGGUGUUCUAGUGAGAGAGCUGUGGAGCUGGCAUUGUACAAGUUGAAGGACAUGGCUAACAUUUGAUAUGAUACUUUAUUGCUAGGAAGGCCUGCAAGAGAAGCACCUCUAACCUGGGAUGAGUUCACUAAGUUCUUCAUGGAUACCUUUCUUCCUGAAAGUCAAAAACAAAAAUAUGCAGCUCAGUUUGAUGCCAUGCAUGGGCGAAGAUAUGAUUGAAGAUAAAACAAUUAUGUUUCAUAAUAUGUGGUACAAAGAGUUAUGCUUUAUAGUAUGUGGAACAAAGAUUACAUUGUUAUGUUGUUAGCUUGUGAAAGUAUUACAUAUAAUCAUUUGUUGGUACAAAUAGUGCUAGAGUUGUGGUACAUGGUUGGUAGUAGUGGUGGAGAAUUAAGACUGGCUUUUCUGAAUUGAACUUCCUAAACGUCUUCUUCUU